rnacentral:rRNA from 1 species
AGGACGAACGCUGGCGGCGUGCUUAACACAUGCAAGUCGAGCGGUGAUCCUCCUUCGGGAGGUGAUCAGCGGCGAACGGGUGAGUAACACGUGGGCAACCUGCCCCUCACACUGGGAUAACCUCGGGAAACCGGGGCUAAUACCGGAUACGACCUCGAGCGGCAUCUCUUGAGGUGGAAAGCUCCGACGGUGAGGGAUGGGCCCGCGGCCUAUCAGCUUGUUGGUGGGGUAAUGGCCUACCAAGGCGACGACGGGUAGCCGGCCUGAGAGGGCGACCGGCCACACUGGGACUGAGACACGGCCCAGACUCCUACGGGAGGCAGCAGUGGGGAAUAUUGCGCAAUGGGCGAAAGCCUGACGCAGCGACGCCGCGUGAGGGAUGAAGGCCUCGGGUUGUAAACCUCUUCAGCAGGGACGAAGCGAAAGUGACGGUACCUAGCAGAAGAAGCACCGGCUAACUACGCGCCAGCAGCCGC